rnacentral:lncRNA from 1 species
AUGCAAGGUGACCGCGAGGACCCAGAGGGCGCGCCAUGCGAGCUCACAGGGCUGGGGGCCGCCUGGGCCCGCGCGUGCAGCCAGGGGCUUCCGGCCGCGGCCCUGGCGCGUGGUCUGCGCGCGCCCGGCCGUGCGUGCGGAUGCGGGGAGGCUGCGUGUGUGCGCAGGGAGAGAACGCCGGCCACCUUCCCGCUUCCGAGCCGGGUGCGCGCCGAGCACAGGAGAUUGCCUGCGUUUAGGAGGUGGCUGCGUUGUGGGAAAAGCUAUCAAGGAAGAAAUUGCCAAACCAUGUCUUUUUUUCUGUUUUCAGAGUAG